GAAAUUGUUAGUGGCAGACGGGUGAGUAAUGCGUAGGAAUCUACCUAGUAGUACGGAAUAGCCAUUAGAAAUGGUGGGUAAUACUGUAUAAUCCCCGAGGGGGAAAGAUUUAUCGCUAUUAGAUGAGCCUACGUUAGAUUAGCUAGUUGGUGAGGUAAUGGCUUACCAAGGCUAUGAUCUAUAGCUGGUCUGAGAGGACGAUCAGCCACACUGGAACUGAGAUACGGUCCAGACUCCUACGGGAGGCAGCAGUGGGGAAUAUUGGACAAUGGGCGAAAGCCUGAUCCAGCUAUGCCG
rnacentral:rRNA from 1 species